rnacentral:tRNA from 1 species
AAUAGAAUGCCUGAUAAAAGGACUAUCUUGAUAGGAUAGAUUAUGUAGAUCUCUACUUCUAUUA